GGAGAGAAGGAAACUACUCGGAAAUUGUGAUAGGUGAGGUUACUGUGGUGCUAGUUAGCUCGCAACUCACGAUGGGAAGCACGAAGGACAGAAGAGACUGAAGGACAAUCACACAAGGCCCAUCAACGACAGGUGCCCCGUUUUUCGUUUUCUGCGCUUGACAUGAACGCAACCCUCUCAUCCGAAGAUUACUCAAGGUACAGG
rnacentral:lncRNA from 1 species